GAUAAGCUCCUUUAGCAGAGUACACAUUCUAAGUAUCGAGAUUUUGAUUUAUGAAUUCUGGAGUUCUCACAUAUAUGUUUAACAGACAAUAAUACAUAACAAGUCUACAAUACACCUGAAAUUUUGUAGUAUAAAUUUGUUGCAAGUGGAAUUCUGACAAAACAGAGGUACAAGUCCGGUAAUAAUAAACAUCAAGACAAGAACAUUAACCAAUUACUACCAAGCUUGCUAGCUAGUGAAAACCAAGCUACAUACUUGUAGCUUUAUUUCUACCACCUCUAUAACCACACACCAUUAUUAGCAGAGCAAGGACUAUUAAGUAUUAUCUACUUAUCACAUAAUCCACUAUGUUUAAGAGGAUAAGAGAUGAUUAAAAAGCAUAAGUUUUGUUAAUCUUGGGAGAAUCAGCAACCUUGAGAGUCUCUUGAAUGAGCUUCUGAGCUUUCCUGCUUCUUAUUUCAACUCUCAUGCUCUCACUCUUUUCAAUCCUGUCAUAUAGUCCUCCUCCAGCAGCAGGCUUCUUUGUUUUUAGACACCUUAAUUUUGACUUGAGACUCCCCAUUAGUCUUCCAAAUCCCAUCAUCACCAUGCUUUGUUUCUUUAACUCCGCAGUUUAAGGACUGUUUCGAAAUUCUGGUUCCUGUCACUAGAGGACAGGAAAAGAAAUAAGAAGGUAUUUGAAGUUAUAGAGAGAAGGCAAGUGAAAGAGAUGAUUGGAAUGAAUAAGGGCUGUGAAUCACAUUAAAUUGAUGGUGUUUCAAUGGGUUUGGAAGUCGGUCAGACCACGCAAUACAAGUGAAGUGACUCAAAGGCCUAGGCUUCGCCUUAUAUAUGACAUGGACAUUGAGAUUCUAUGUGUAAUUAUA
rnacentral:lncRNA from 1 species